rnacentral:rRNA from 1 species
UACGUACCGGACGAACGUUAUUCGGAAUCACUGGGCUUAAAGAGUGCGUAGGCGGCUCUGCAGGUGAGGUGUGAAAUCCCACGGCUCAACCGUGGAAUUGCGCUUCAAACCGUAGAGCUUGAGGGAGACAGGGGUGAGUGGAACUGAUGGUGGAGCGGUGAAAUGCGUUGAUAUCAUCAGGAACACCAGUGGCGAAGGCGACUCACUGGGUCUCUUCUGACGCUGAGGCACGAAAGCUAGGGGAGCAAACGGG